GGAAGCCUGGUUGGGCGUUGGCCGAGGCUUCACCCAAAGAAGGCACAUAGGUCUUAAACGUGCAAGGCACAAGGGGCGUGGAGGAGCAGGUGGACGAGGGGCUCACGCUCUGGACAGAGGAGUAGCCUGAGCUGUGAAGAAACUGUCUUCAUCACUGGACAGACAUCUGCAGAGCUCGACUUUUUCAUCUCCGUCGUUCAGAGGGAGCAGAUUGAUGGAUAUCACUGAACCUAUUGAAAGAUAAUGACAGACAUUGCAACUGCAGAGUCAUCUUUGGUAGCAUACUACAAGAGGACUGACUCAUGCAUUCUUCCCCUCUAUGAAGUGUCCAAGCUCCAGUCCAGAAUGUCGCCGACCAGCUUCUCCUCCUGACUGGAUAGCUCGGCCGUGGGCGUGGCCACAAAGCUGGCUCUGUGGCUCUGCAUGCCGUCAUCGCGUCUCCUUGGGAGAGUGGACAAGCAGU